GCUAUAUACAGGUAUACUCUAUGUACAGGUAUACUUUAUGUACAGGUAUACUCUAUGUACAGGUAUACUCUAUGUACAGGUAUACUCUAUGUAGUACAGGUAUACUCUAUGUACAGGUAUACUCUAUGUACAGGUAUACUCUAUGUACAUGUACACUUACAUUAUAUUCUCACUAUUAGAGACAAUGUAGUUUAUUUACAGGGAUACUUUAGUUAUUUUCUUCCCUAUGUAAACAGCCAGUAAACCGUCUGUUCAUCAUCUUUUUCAUCAUGUUGAAGAUUUUUUGUAUUUUUAAAUAGAUUGUCAAAAUUUUAAAUUUUCACUGUUUUACUUGAAUUGUCACUUGUAUGGAUGUUCGUUUAAAUAAAACAAGAUAUUGAAAAA